CGUUCUCAGUUCGGAUCGGAGUCUGCAACCCGACUCCGUGAAGCUGGAUUCGCUAGUAAUCGCGCAUCAGCCAUGGCGCGGUGAAUACGUUCCCGGGCCUUGUACACACCGCCCGUCACACCAUGGGAGUUGGCAACACCCGAAGUCGGUAGUCUAACCGCAAGGAGGACGCCGCCGAAGGUGGGGUUGAUGAUUAGGGUUAAGUCGUAACAAGGUAAC
rnacentral:rRNA from 1 species